ACAAUUGGACCUACAUGAACUUUUUUCCAUUUUAAGCCAUUUUUCAUUUCAAUCAAUAGCCAUGUUAAACCAUUUUUAAGCCAACUUCCAAACAUUUACAUUAGACCAUCAUUCAAUUCCAAGUACAUAUAUUCAACCAUUACAACCAUGUUUAUACAAAUUCCAUACAUAUUUCAUAUAUUCAAUGUAUUCAAUAAACCAACUACAAAGUUCAUAUACUCCAAUAGCCAAAUCCAAAGCCCUGUAUUUUUCACUGACAAUCUCCAAGCUUCAUAACUAAUCCAAGUCCAAACAUGUAAACAUCCCUGCAAAUCCAAGCCGAGUUUGAAUCCAUCAUACACUUCAUGGCCAAUGACAACCUGCAUAACUGUAAUAGAAAAAACAUGAUUCCACAAGCAAGCCAUUGAAUUCAAGACCCUGCGUCAUUGUCCAAACAGAGGAAAAAUAAAAACCAGUCUUAGCCUGCAAGAAAAAGCUAAAUGCACUAUAACUCAGUUCUAAACAAAAUCCUCUAACUUCCUUCUUCAUUUACACUCACCAUUAAACUAACAACGUUCUAACUGAUCAUUAUCCAACUAAAUAAUUAUUUCCUAACUUCCUAACUACCUGUAAUAGAAAGCAAACAACAUAAAAUAAUUGAGAUUGUGUAUAAAAGCAUCACUACAACAUUCACUCUCUCACUUUUCUUACUCACACAAAAAUUCUCAAUCACUGAAAACAAAAUCGUCUUCUCAACUCACCUUUCAGCAAUCUCAGGAAUUUUCUCACUUUUCUUGAGAUUUCAAAAAUCAUCUCAUUCACAUUUUAUCACCUUCAUCACCCUCUGAUUCUUUCACUUUUCUGAACUCACAUAAAAAUUCUCAAUCACUGCAAAAAGAAUCAUAUUCCUCACUCAUUCUUCACAGAACAAUCAUCAUCCUCUUCACUCCUCUCAAGAAUACUCGUCAAUCCAUAUUUAUCACCAUAUAAACAAUUCUCUCACUUCAGAACCACAACACACGCAUAGAAGAAGAGAAUCGAAGGCACGUAACAGAAGAAGAAGGAGAAGACAAAGAGAAGACACGCGAACAAAGAGAACACAAAGAAGAGUUUCAAGAUUGUACCAGAAGCCAAUGUAUUAUCCUGUAGGUCUCCAUUCUUCUUUUCAUCGUUUUAUAAAAUAAAAGUUACCACUAUGUAGCCCUCCAUGAGGGGAAUCAAAGCCCCAAGGUGGAGUGGCUUGAUUCCCCUCUGUUUUGAUUUAAUUUGAAAUCUCUUAGUUAUGGUUCUUCACGUUUUCCAUUCGAUUUGAAUAGUUCAAGAAGAAUUAGGAGUUUCCAUUAUCAUUUUUGGAUUCAGGGCAUAGAAAUGGUUUAGGUGAUGUUCUCGAUUGAGUUUAAGGAGUGUCUCUGUCGCCGGAGAUGGCCUCCGACGCGACGGAGGGAGGACUGAGAGAGAAGGGAGAUGACGUGUUCCAUAGUUUAGUUUUGAGUUCUUCAACAUGUUUUGCAUGUGCAUUUUAUUACUUUUAGUUUAUUAGUUCUAGUUAUUGAUGACUCAUUUCCAUGUCAACUUCAACCUUAUCCAUUCCAAUUGCACAUGUUGAUUUUCGUGUGGGCUUGUGUGUUUGGACCUAUUUGCAU
rnacentral:lncRNA from 1 species